rnacentral:misc_RNA from 1 species
GGUGGAGGUUCACUUCUCCGCCGGGAACAUGACCGUGUUGGAUGAACCGGACACGCUCAACUUGGAAGCGACCUUUCUUAUUCAUCAAGGCGCCAGUCAUCUGCAAGGACGUGCGGCGGAAGAACGCCGUAACAGGGAUCGCCAAGCUGUCCGCUGGGGAGAUGGAGUGCCACAAUCGACCCUGGUCAAAUCGAACCCUCGCACGAGAAGUACCUCUACGUUCGACUGCGAAGUCUCCUUCUACGCAAGAACAAUCCCGCCGAUCAGCACCGUUACGCCAAUCUGGUGCCCAACGAAGACACGCGUCGUCAUAAAGAGGGAGGGCGUCUCAGCAAAGGCGUGUCCCCUACCGGAUGAUACCUCUCAUCGACACGUGAUGGAAGUCUUCAACGCCAGCUGGACCCACAAGCAUCCCCACUUAGGAGUUGAACCUCGAAUGUGAUCUUCGAUGAUUUCCUACCGAAGGACAACGGCGCGUACUCCUGACCAAGCGACCGUCAAAGUAAUUUGGUAAGUGGACUUCAUCGCAAACUCUCGACAAGUUCAUCAACGCUCUUUCAACAGCUCUAACCGCCGCCGAUGAGUGUCCAGACCUGAACGCGUGUGUCAAAGAGUCCAUCUGGUGCGAUGGGAUCGCGCAGUGUCCGUCUGGCGAGGACGAUUCGUUUACAGUGCGUUCAACACUGCUGCAGCUGCCGACCGAUUUACUGGCUUCAACGUGCCGCUUCUGCUGCUGUGCUGCAACUGACCGCAUACCUGUACUCGCGAAAUCCGUCGCAACUGCCGCCGGACGUCGCCGGACUACAGACACAGCUCAGGUCGCUCAGCUUGAUGGACAUGGCAGUGUUUGACGAGAAUGAAGUGAUUUGCUGACUAAGGGACAAAGGGCAAAGGAACCACGCGCUGAACAGAAUUGUCCCCCCACCGAGUACUCUUCAAGCUCCUUCCGGUCCCUGCUCUGACACUUCCCGCAAAUUUGCGCUCUUUAAAUGAAAACGUGUGAUCUAGGUGGAAAAAAAGAUUUAGCUGAUCUCGUGAAGAAACGGAUGCUCGACGUUAGUUGUCUCUUAGUACUGUUAAACGAAGCAUGAAUUAAUUCGUUUUAAGAGGGGACUUGAUUGAGCUCGUGAUAAUUCAGGUCCGGUUGAUGACAAGGAAGCAAAUCAAUAAUAAUAUAAGAAGGA